ensembl:lncRNA
CACACACACACACUUAAAAAAAAAUCAAACAUCUUAACUGGAUUUUAGGAUCUUUAAAUUUUGGAUUCGAUCAAUUCUUCGCAUUUCUUUCAACCCCCUAUCCCAAAACAGGAUGGUAUCUCUUGCAUGAAUUGUGCAGUGAGACCUCAACCUGUAACGGACUCGUCAGUACGAUACCAAACGCUCAUAUACAGAACAUGUAAAUAUCCGCUAUCGUCUUUAUUUACGUCCAGCCUGCGUCUUUUCCCUUCGUUAACGCUGCUGGUUUUUCUUUCAGACCAGAUCGCGCGUCUUUGUUCUUGCGCUUUUUUUCCCCCUUUCUUUCGGGUUUUAAAUGUUACACAUUUUCUAUGUGACAGAUAACACAACUUUUCCUGAAAGGUACUCUAAUGCAGCUCACGAAUCCGGCUUAAUCAAUCUUAAAGGAAAGAAAUCGGAUUUUCCACACUGAAACAGGAUUCCAUGUCCUUUUCCCGCUAGUAUAUGUGGGAGCAAAAUGUGUGUGUGUGUGUGUGUGUGUGUGUGUGUGCACAUACAGGUGUGUGAGACAGAAUACCCAUGCUGCGCGUGUAGACUGACAGGAGCUAAAUUAGUCCGGACAGAUUACACUGAGAUCCCGCUCUCUUUAUAACACCUACAGGGGAUGGAGGGAGGGGUGAUGCACACAGAGCCGGCUGGAAACCAGCAGGUUCUCCUCGCCAAUCCCAUCCUGUCCUCUGAAGAGUGAAAACAGAGACAGAAAAAGGGGGAUAGAGAGAGAGAGAGAGAGAGAGAGAGAGAGAGAGAGAGAGAGAGAGAGAGAGAGAGUUAGCAUCACUACAUGCCAAUUCCUUUCCAUUGUAAACGAUACUGAUAUUCAACCAGAGCUAAUCAGUCAUUUUGGUCCUCUUGUCUCCUUCACUUCACCUGAGACACCCCACCAUAAACGUUUCACCAUCAUGAGACUAAAGAUUGACGUCAUUGGUGAGGGAACCCGUUGGUGCGCAGCUCUACCUGCAACAAGUUUAGGGCGUUCCCAUCAUCCUCUAAUUUAUUACCUUUUUUAGGGGAAAAUAUCUGAAUUUGGGGAAAAAAAUUAUUUUUUAAAAAAAUUACCUUUCCGGGGAAAUGUAAAAGCAAACGUGGGGGAAAAAAGUUUGAAAAAUUGUACAUUUAGGGGAAAAUAGAGCAAUAAUGGGGGGAAAUGUCCUCCAAAAAAUUGGGGGGAAAUAAUUAAUUUGGGAAAGAAUUAUGGGGAAAAUGUACAUUUGGUAGAAGAGGGAUAUUUAAAAAAAAUAUGCUGGAGAAAACAAAAAUAAAUUUAUGCAAAUGUUUGUGGGUAAAUUUGGAAAGGGAUUUUUUUUAAUGUUGUAAAAAUGUCAAAUGGGGAAAAUAGUAAGGGAAAUGUAGAGAAAAAUAUCCAUUUAGGAAAUAAAUGUAAAGAAAAUGUAAAAUGGGAAAGGGGUAAUGUAAAAAUUAAAUCUGGACAUUUUUGAUAAAAUAUGUAGGAAACAAUGUAAAUCUAGGGAAGGGGAAUGCAAAUAAAAAAUAAUGUACAAAAAAAGUCAGUGAAAAAAUGUACAUUUGGUCAAAUGUAAAUUUGGGAUAUUUUUUUCUGUAUUGUAAAAAAAAUGUGCAUUUAAAAAAUAAAUGUAAAGAACAUGUAGGGAAAUGUCAAUUUAUGUGGAUAAUAUCAAAUUAAAAAAUUUUAAAAAAGGAAAAAAGAUAGCAUGUACACUAUGGUAUAGUCUAUAGUCAGUAACUGAGAGACGGACAGUAGACAGAAUAAAGGGGGAAAUCCGAGAGGGAAAAAAAAGACUGGGGCAUCCUUCACACACAUGCUAAGAGCUCUCUAGCACAGAAGUGCGUUCAUGCUCAUGAGUCCAGUCACGGUUUCUACGACCUAUAACCUCUUGAGUUUGUUAGUGCUAUUGGUUAGAUCUUUUAAGGUGUUUCCUUGAUUGCGUCGUCAUGGUAACAUGUUUACUACUACGGACAAAAGUGUUCUCGAGGCUGAUCCGAGAAGUUCUCGGAGAUGAUCACGACUCUGAAGGGUUCUUGGAAGGUUCUUGUGCGGUGUGAAGUAGGGUAAGGUUUGCCAAGAUUACGUCAUAUUUUGGAGCGUGGUGUUGAGUGGUGCUGGUGAGGUGGGUGUGGCCAUGAUCCUAGUGACUGGGUAGUGCUCCUGCUUCCAAUGGGGUGUGGUUUUCUUCUUUACUUCAUUGUAUUUAGUGUGCGCUUGGGUUGUACGUGGACACGGUGCAGCAUAGUAACGAUGCCAAUGGAGCUCAUGAAGGAGAAUUUGAAAAUUCUGUUUAAACCGAGCGCAAGGUUGAUUUGUUUAGCUCCUGAUUUUUGGCUUUUUUGAUUAUUCAGUAUUCAAUCAGCCCAGAAUAGUGCUGAUACACAAAUAUAGACAGAGCCAAGAAGCCCAGGGCUUGAGCAGCUUGACUAAGCUGUGGAGUGUGUGUGUGUAUGUGUGUGUGGUUUUGGCUGGUAUUCAUGGCUGUGACUGUGUUAGCGAGGGGGGGACCCCAACCCACCACAAGGCAGCCGGCACCAUUGCAUCACUGUGUGAGGGAGAGGAGGAGGAGGAGGAGGAGGAGGAGGAGGAGUGAGUGAGCGAGUGAGUCAGGAGACAUAUUUCCAUCCAAAUGUUGUUUUCUGUUCAUGGAUCCAGUGAAAUUGUCGUAGACUAUUUAUGCAACAAUUUAUUACACCCUUAGUGGCUAAUUUUAGCUCUGAUUGGACAUAACAUACAUAACAAUCCAAUGCCUGGAAAGAGAGUAACCAACAUGUCAUUUAACUUUAGCUACUGAUUAAGAUUAUAAAAGGUGCGUAGAGAUGUAACUAAUUAUUGAUUACAUUUAUUUAUUUAAAGUGGUUUAUAUGUUUGUUUUUCUUUUACCUCACCAAAUGGUAUUUUGUUUUUGCAAACUAUGAUGAGUUAUUAUCACAUAGCAAAGCUAUAUACACCUCCUCGUAUAGAUGUGCCGCUAUCUUCCUCCAAUUUAUUUAUGUUUUAUGGGGAAGAUGUAACUUUGGGGGGGGGGGAAAAUGUCUGUAUGUUAUGUCUUUAAAAAUUGGGUGGAAAAUGUAGAAAAAUAUUAGGAAAGUAUGUGAAUUUGGGGAAAAUUUUGAAAAGAAAAAUGUAGGAGAAAUGUACAUGGGGGAGUAAGAAAUGCCAAUUUGGGGGAAAAAAAAAUUAUUUUAAAAAUUGGAUUAAAAAAUUUACAUAAAAUGUUAAGAACAGUUUUUAAAUUGGUAAAAAUGUACAUUUGGGUAAAUUAUAGGGAUAAUGUAAAAGGAAAAUGUAAACUUGGGAGGUAAUUAAAAAAUAGUGCAGAAAAAUUAGGAAAAAUGUCAAUUAGAUUUGUAAAACUGGGGAAAAUUGGUACAAUUUGAAGUGUAUUACAAAUAUCUUGAUGAAAUAUUAAAUAAAAUGGAGGGAAAAUGCAAUUCUGAGGGGGAAAUUUCCAAAAAUAUAAUUAGGAAAAAUUUAUAAAUUUGAGGACAAUGCCCAAAAAAGUCUAUAUACCAGAAAAUGUCAAAUAUAAUGUAGUAAAAUGUCAAUGUAAAUUCAGGGCGAAAAAUAUAAAAAAUGUAAAUUUGGGGGAAACAAUAGGGGAAUUCAAAAUUUGGGGAACAGGUCAAAAUAUAUGUAGGGAAAAUAUAAAUUUGUGGGAAAAACAAAAAAUUGUAAAUUUGGGAAAAUUGACCAAAAAAAAUAUGUUGGAAAAAAUUUUGGGAAAUGUUAAAACAAAUCUAGGGGAAAAUUUUGAUUUGGGGGCAAAUGUAAAAUAAAAUGUAGAAUUAUUUUAAUUUUAGGAGAAACUGUAAAAAAAAUGUAGGGAAAUGUAAUUUUGAGAAUUUUAUCUGUGUCAUUAUGGUCUUUGUAUCGUUUUUGGGAUCAUUUUAGCAUAGAUUAGAAAGAUAGCUACAGUCAGUGACUAAGUGAUAAACAGGAGAGAGAGAGAGAGAGAAAGAGAGAGAGAGAGAGAGAGAGAGAGAGAGAGAGAGAGAGAAGCUAAAAAAAAGGCCGAGAGAAAAAAUAGAAAUGCGAGUGGAGCAUCCUUCACAUGCAUGCUAAGAGCUCUCUCGCACAGAAGUGCGGUCAUGCUGGAGUCCAGUCACAAUGCCUACGACUCAUAACUCACACUCUGAGCGGAUCCUACACCUUCUCCUCCUCACUCAGCUCUACUCUCUCCUAUCAAUUAGGCUAACUCAAUGCUAACGCUUUUCAGUGGUGAAUAAAUUGCAUGAAGCUCUGGUUCCCACCUCCCCCUACACACACACACACACACACACACACACACACACACACCCUCCCAUUUCUCUCCAGAGGUGUGUAGGGGAAAAACAACUCGCGCCUCCGCAGGGGAAAGGCAUUUGCCACAGAUAAAGCUAAUUUAAUCUGAUGAAAUGUGACAUUUCGCUAUGGCCAGAAAGUGCACGUCUCACGUCAAGAUUAAUGAAUCGCCAGCAGCCAAUCUUUUAAACACAUGACACUAAAGGCGAUGCUGAGACACCGGGGUGUGGUUUUUGGUAAGAUGAAUAAUGAAAUAUAAAUUAAUAAGAAGAAAAACGUGGGAUGCAGCUACCGGAAUCCUGCUGACGGAGAUGCUGAAGGCGGAUACUUUGAUUAGAAGUGAGAAGUUGUUUCAUACUUCUCUGCAUUCCUUCCGUUCUCUCAGUCCUCCUCCUCCUCUUCCUCAUCCUCCUCCUCUCUUCUGUUCGAAUUGUGUAACCAGCACGUGUGUGUGUGUGUGUGUGUGUGUGUGUGUGUGGCUGUUUACUCGUGUGGUUAACAGUGUCGAUGGUUGGUAAGGGGAAUUUCCUUGUGCCUUGCCAAGACGAGGCAGAUUGGCGCUCAGCUUGUGCCAGGGUUGCGCUAAAUAAUUAUUACCUCUCAGAAUUACUUACGGUCUGCUGAGUAGCAUUUCAUUGGCAAAUAAAGCCCAUUAGCUCCAAACUAUCGGCUUUCUGUGCAAAACACUGUAAUUAUUCGGGACGCGCUUCCCGGGUUGAUGGAAAAAGGAGGGCAUGGAGACGUCGUGGCCCCCAUGUAGCCGACUGUAGACAGGUUUCCUUUCCUUUACGCUGUGCUCCGACAUCACCUUGACCCUCGCUGUCUCGUAAAUUCCGCAGGGUGACAGGAUGUCCUCAUUACCGAAAGAAAAAGAGGGCGUUCUGUGUUCGCCAGUGGACUCGAUUAACAUAAAGUGACACUGAGCAAAAACAAGAAAAAGACCCGUGGCCUUGAAUUUGCUGCACGUGACGAGCUGAAAGCGCCUUUGUGAGGAAGAUAACAUAACGUAGAUGACGGAGCACACUUGUCACUUUCUAACAAUAUGUUCAAGCGUCAAUUCCUUGCUUACAAACAUCCGGAUAAAUGAAUAACGAUAAACGAAUAACGUGACUCGUGACAAUGUUUCCAGUUUAAUGCUAUGCUACUAAUGACUACAAUGGUUUGUUUCACACUGGCACUUCUUUUAACUAGUGGCACACACUCUGAACUGAUGAGAUACAGAGAACAAAUGCGUAUUUCUAUGCUAUUCGUCUUUAAAUGUUGUGCUUUUCCAACUAGCCGUGUCAUCAGUUUGCUAAUCAGGCCAAAGAGGGUAAAUAACCUCUUUGAUAGCCACCAGAAACUCUUUCCUUUCUCUAUGAGCUACCUCUAGCUACAGUUUUUCCCCUCUUUUGGCUGCUCCCGUUUGGGGUCACCACAGCAGAUCACCCCUCUGAAUAUUUUGAUUCUGGCCCAAGUUUCAUGCCAGAUGCACUUCCUGAUGCAACCCUCCUCAUUUCCAGGCUUGGGACCAGCACUGGCUCGUGCAACCCUCUAGUGGCUACAAUUGGGGAAUUGAACCCAGAUCGUGGCGAUGAGAGCGCUUCAUAGCUGCCUACAGUUAAAUAAUUUACAUAAAUGUAUGGCCGCAACACAGGAUCUACUCGGUCCACCAGUUGUUGCCGGUUUAGAGGAAGAAAACCAUUCAUCUUGAUUAUUUGCGUUUCCUGCCUCCACACUUUAUAGCAGGGGUCAUCGUGGUCCGGACGUGGACCUUGCAAAGUAUUUCAGCUGAUCGAAUUUAGUGCUUGGAAAAGCACCAUAACCAACUCGUCCAUAGUCCGUAGUUUGGACCAAACUACGUAGUAACCGUCAUUAGGGUUAACCCUAACCCUAACCAUUGCUGAUACGUUAGCAGAUGCUCUGUUGCAGCCAAUCAUGUUUAAUAUUUAUCUGAAGGCAGCUCAUUAGACCAGAGACUAGCUACAAGGGGUAAAGAUAUUAACUCAGAAUGUCAUUGCGAGAGUUUUAUUUACACUCUCUGGUCUGGUUAACGCACUGAUGACAUGUCUUGGUUAAAGAAGUUGACGGAAGCAGAAUUUUUAAAGAUGAGUGGACAGCGAAGACAAAUUCAAAACCGAUGUGUCUAGGGAGAAGUGCACAACUGUGUAUAAACUUCUAAAUCGUCUUAUUUAUAGCCAUUACAGGUCAUUGUUGUCAUCAUUUGGUCAUGUUAGUCACUUAUGUGAAAUUUUAUAAGUAAAGAAUUCAGCAGUUUAGUUGAAUUUAGUUGAAUAUUGCUGCUCUAUAGUACUCUGCAGUACCUCCUCCAUCCCUGAAUAACAAGCUCACCGUUUUAUAACACCCUCUAUGCACUGCUGUAAGGCUUUAGAUAAUCCUUCCAGAACAAACAAAAAAAAAAUAGAAAAACCUAUUUUUAUAAAAUACGUCCAAUAUGUUUAGAGCUUAAAUAUCCUCAUGUCCUUGUAUUCAUUUUUCUUUUUCUUUAAGUGAGCCCUCUGUGGCUUAGCAGGCUUGGAUAGUCUUAGUCUCCGUGAAAGGAUCCAUCCGUAUGAUUAGCGGCUUGGUUUAAAAGGUUGCCUAAUAAUGUUGUGACUGUUAAUAAGCACUGCUUACACUUUUCUAUAGGCAGUGUGUAUAUAAUUAGCCGGGCUGGGAUGAGCCGGGCUGUUUAAUCAAUAGGCUAAUGCACGGCUCAAAAGGAGCCGGGAAAGAAUAGGGCCAGGGAGUACUGCUGCGAGGCACAAAGGCCACAAAGGGAAUGGCUGUCUCUGCUUAAGUCUCAGCAGAUCAAUUUGCCAUAUCCUGAACAGCCUGUUUAAAAAGAAACCCAGAAUAAGACGGCGUGUCCUGUGUGUCCCGUCCUCUAGGGGGAGACGUCAAUCUUGCACAAAUAGCCGGCUUCAGUGGAGGACUAAGAAAAUGGCUUUUCUAUUUCACACACACACACAAAAAAAACCCUCACAACUUACUCUUACUCUCUGGUUACUUCCCUGCCGCUCAUAUCGAUUAGACCAUGAUAGACAGGCAGUGCUCGGUUUCAUUUGUGACAAAAUGUAUCCUCACAAAGAGCUGUUUACUUAGGAAAAAGGACGGAGGAAAAAAAAAGAGAAGGACGAGUGAAAAAAGCAGCGUGAAUGAAGGCUUUGUUCGCCGAGGCCUAGGCGCUGCAUGAGAGGAUGCAGGGCACUGAUGGAUAGUUAUACCUGGCUCCCCCCUGGUGCCUCAAAUGCCUCAGCUAGAUACCACGGCUUGAUACAAACGCACCCUCUGUCCACCUCCCCCUCUCUCACUCCCCCUGGACUGGCUUUGUGUACGAACAACCGGAGCCUUUUCCUGCCUUCGCUCUUUUUUUCAGUGGCCUUUCCAUUUUCCGCUCAAGCCGAAGAAGGAGGGGUUUGGCAACUUGUCCAGGCUCACCUGUGGAUGGUAAAGUGGGAGGCUUGUCUGGUGAGAAAAGAAGACAAAAAGCAGUUGAUCUUUGUGUGAAUCUGAAAAUCUGUGACGUACGUUUUUAAGUUUUUAGGAAGGGAUAACGUCAGUCGAAGCUGUCGAACGGAUUCUAGAAGUAAGGAUGGGCAGCGCUAAGAGAUUCAACAAUGGAGAGCAGUUUUCUACCAGACAUAAAUAAUCCUUAAAGGAAGCAGAGCUACACACAAUGGAGCCCACAAACAAGUCUGCCGCAAACUCUCGAAACUAGCGCUCAGAUCAGCAAAAACGACACUCCUCCCAGAGGAAACGGGACUCAGGUGGCAUCGAUACCUGCCAGGUUCGGGAGACAGGUAGGCAAUGCCUCAGUUUACCUUUGCCUGCUUCUGCGGCCUCCAUGGCCUGUGCCGGCGGAGAAAGAAGAAAAAGAAGAAACAAGAGGAACAGCAGCAGGACUACGAGACCGUGGUUUGACGAUUUGGGACUGAAAAUACACUUGGGUCUAUGCCAAAAAAAGUCUUUGUAAGCCCUCAGCAAACCUCAGGGCUGAUAUUAAGGGACUACUUUCCUAAGUUUCUUCAGGAGUUGUACUCAGUGAAAGAAAGUGAGACAAAGGCGAAGCACUCUUACAUUUUAGAUCACGUCCAUGAAUUAUGAGUGGGUGUUUCUGUUUCAGUGUGAUUCCACAGACUUGAUUGAUUACUGCAAAUCAUAUAUUCAGCAUAUCUUCAGUUACUCUGACACCGCAAAGAACUUCAAACAAAAAUUAGCUAUUCUAAUUGAAAAAAAAGAACAGAAGACGUUGUGUCGCCCCAAACCCCCCCUCCCCCGCCUCCAUAUUAAAGACAAGUUCAGGGUUUCAGAUAUUCAGGAACCAUGAAAACAUCCCACUAACAAUCAGAUCCAUUCUAAGUGAAUAUAUGAGUUUGGAAUUUGAUUAUAGUAUUUUUAGACAGCUUGAUUGAUAGUCUUUUCUAUUUAUUGCUUGAAAAUGAGUGCUUCAGCAGAGUCUGGCAGCCAUAGAGGUGCUCCACAGCACCUGGAUCUGGUGCCUUUAUUCUCCACCAGUUUGCCUGUUAAUUGCCUUCCCAGUAAUUAUGAACCCCUAGGAAGAUCCAAGUGGCCUCUUCGCAAAUGCCACCACAGUAAAGGAUGGGUACCAUCUGUCAUUUCUCGGGAACAUUUUAAGUCUGGCCCUUGGCAAGCGUCAACUGACUCCUCUUGAUUAUUGUGUGGAUUCUGGAAAAGGAUGUGGAAUGAAUUUAAAUGAAACCUGUGGGUGGUGGGAUUUUGUGUCAUUUUGAAGGGUGUGUCUGUGAAAUGGUUAGGAAACUACAUCAAACCACAUAAUCAGGCAGGGUAAAGCUUAUUCAUGUCACACUCUGAAUUAGACCUUUCCAAUCAUGCUGUCCCAAAGCAGUCUGGCAGACUAGUGAUAGAGCGUAGCGUGGACAUUUCCCAAUAAGACAAGAUUCAGGAGCCAGGUGUCCUCUCUCAAAGGACAUUAGGCAGGAAUGAGGAGUGACGAAUGUGCAAGUUAUUUCUAGACCUGUCUUCUCUGACCUAGACGGAGUUUCUUAGGUCCACGGUUUCUUUCUAAGGUUAAUGUGAUUAAGCCUUAAAUAGCAGCACAGACUGUGUCCAAAGGUCACAAUAUACAGAAGGUCACAAACACGCAAAAGUCGGCUCAUCACCUGGCUAACAAAAAUGCGUCCUUUCCCCCUUUGCUACACAAAGUUAUACAAUUAUGGCUAUUUUUAGAACAUUUAUGCAUGAAUAACCCCCAUCAGCCCUAUCAGCUCUACAUUAAUAUAUUCAAUUAAAAUUGGGGGUUGGGAGGGUGGGGGGUUGAAGCUCACCAUGGCAACUGGUCUGACCAAAACUCUGGCCUUUGGAUGCAGGGUUUGAAUGGCUUUGAAAAUAGCAGUAAUUGUGGUGGUAAAUGGCAGCCCUCAUUAAGGAAGGUGAUUAUGCAGUCCACGCAUGCGAGGAUGGGGCGAUGCAAUUAAUCUCGCUCAACAGGAAGCGCGCCAGGAUGACGGAUGCUCCUAAAUCUGAUGUCGCGGAAACAAAAGGGGAAGAAAAAGUCAGGGACUUAAACUUUGGAUAAUGUCCUUUUUGCAUAUUCAGAUUUAGAGGGCUUUCCAGAACCAGUUAAUAUGAGCCAAUGUUAUCCAAUGCGUAUCCUUUCAUCUACUUAUCCCAAGCCAUUCGGACCAUUCAGAUUUCACCUGCAAGUCAUGGUAAAGCCCUAAGCGUUUGAUCCUUGUAUUCAUUUGAACAAGUAUUCAAAAUGAGAGGCGGUUAAAUCGAUUCGAGUGAGUGUUUGUGAGACAAUUCAUCAGACCAAGUUAUCAUGUUACAGGAGCAAGCUUCUGUGGAAGUAAGGGGGGCCAAAUUUAAUGAGCAUGAGAUUGAAACGGCUGCUAAUUACCUGCAGCCGCACUAAUUCAUUGUGUCUGUCUUGCUGGCUCAGAGACUGCACUCUUUAUAGGUGGGUGGCAAUAAAUGAGUGCAUUGCAUCAGAUCGGCACUAUUUUUGCAUGUUUGCUCUGUUAAGCGAUGACAGGAGGCAAGAUUUAAUUACAGUUUUAACUUGCACCACCAAACACACUCAUUUUUCAGCACUGACGUCGGAUACGGUGUUUAGUGUUUCGUAGAAAGCGUAGUGUGCACAGGGGUUUCUACAUUGCAGCCUCGAAAACAAAUAGGUGCAUUAUGCCUUCCCAUUUUCUUUAAACCCAAACUGCCAUUAAACCCGAAUCUCCCAUCUGUCAGCACCCACUGAAAAGUGGCGGCGGCACAAAUGAUCCUUGUCGUGCACGGGUAGACAUUUAUUGCAUUCGGGCUUCAUUUUUCAGCUACAGCACAAAGAACCUGAGCGCGAGAGACAGGGAAGAGGGUGCUGACAUGCGUUCGUCCUGUUCCUUCUCCACCACGCUGACAGCCGACCUGUCUCCGUGCCUUAAUGAAGAUUAAAGCAGGUUUCCUCUUCUUAAGCUCCUGUAAUUAUCCGAUCGUCCAAUAGACAGGCGGGUAGGGCCUCUGCCGAUGGCAGCCUUAGAGAGAGGAAAGUUGAGAGGAGGACGCAAGAAGAUCAUGUAAUUGCGAUGGUAAUGGAUUUUGUCGGGAGCACCUGUCAUGGCCAUGGAGAAAACAGCCAAGGAAGGGAAUUGGAGUCAGGAUGCCAGCGAGCUGAGCCUCUGUCUGAGCCAAGCUCACCUGAUUGCCAAUUUAGGGGAGUCUUCAUGCAUCAAGCAUUGAGAGCAGGGGCGUUAAGGGGCCUAGGUGGCGAUUCACUGGGCAAACCAUUAAAGAAGGUGUCAGUGCGAAUAAGCGACCAGACGGGCAAGAGUGAAAGCUAAAACCAAACGACGUUUAAUUUCCAAUUGAGAGCAGGGGAAGAUGAAAAAGAAACGCACCACUGAAUUUCUCCAGCUAAUGUGAGGUUCCUGGUCAGACAUGCUCUGCUGAGCACAUGAAGUUGAUGCAAGUAGAGCUGGCAGCCUCACUUCGGUGAAUGAGGCCAGUUAAGUUAAGAAAAGUACACGGUCAAAAGGCAAAAUGGACAGGGCAGUCUUCUGUUGCAUGUAAACGUGGUCAGGCUGCGGCAAAAUUAAAUGUGUCUCAGGAAGGGCUGUUUCCUGUUUCCUACCCUAGCAAAAUCAUUCUCAAGUCUCCCCCACCCUGAACCCCCACCAACCAUAGCAACAUCCUAUUUAACCCCCAACCAAAAUCUCUACCAGACUUUGUGAUAUUCUACUUAACUCCCGCACCCCAAAUUCCCACCAAACCUAGUGAUAUCCUACUUAACCCCAUCCCAAACCCCCAUCAACCCAAGCAACAUCUUACUUAACAACCCACCCCAAAUCUCCACUAACUCUAGUGACACCCAGUUGCCCCAUCCAAUCCAAAGCUGUGUCAACCCUAGCAACAUCCUACUCCCCUCACCCAUAACCUUAACCAAACCUAGUGACACCUUACUUAACCCCCCACCCCAAAUUACCACCAACCCUAGCAACAUCAUACUUGACCCUCCAUCCAUCCCCACCAUACCUCUCAAAAAGGCAGCCCCCAGAUAAACCCUAAACCAUGAUAACAAUCACGGAUAUAAUUUCUAUGGCCCCUGGUGGCUCAGGGGUCCUAAACAACUGCUUCUACCACUUAUAGUAAAACAACACAAUUUUCAUGCUCAUCUUUACAAAGCAUCAAAUUUCAUGCUGUUUGUGUAUGCACUGUUUGAGCUGCUCAUUUACCGAGACGCAAACGCUUGCCAAAACACAAACACCAAACAGGCAAUAGCUGAAAAAAUGAUUAUUACUUUUGUUACGGCAGCUGCGCCCAGCUUGCAGUGUUUGCCAGGUGCGCAAAAUCAAUUCCAAAUGUGUUGUUUUUUGAAAGUACUUAAGGUGGGAUUGAAGAAACUUGGUAGAAAUAUCCAACACGGAGGUGCGUAUUUGAGGCUGGCAGCCAAGGGCAGGUGCCUGUUUAUCAGCAGUAAACGUUAACAACUUUUCUGGCAUUGAAAACUCCAGGGGAAGUGUUCUCUGUUGUUGACACUGCACACUUCAUUGCUUCCAGAGACAUUAGCUUGAUCUGGUGUGUGGCUGUGUCAGGGUGACCAAAGCGAAUUGCCACUGGAACAAACUGCACUCUAAGUUUAUCACCAUUUUUCGUGUUGGCCUUUUCGAAAAGUUUAGACAGGAUGAGUAAGAUGAAUGAGUCAGACUCCAACCCGCACAUUUAAUCUUAAUCAGAUGUCUAUCUCGGAUUUUAUUGAUUAGAUAAAUGAACGAAUCAAUAGGCACUCUCUUCUUGAUGUGUUGUUGUUCUUGCUUCGAUACUAAUAAAUGGGUCCUUCAUAUAAUCAAGGAAUCUUGUUCAUGAGGAUGGCAAAGACGUUUCUGUCCAAUCAGACGCCUCUAGUCAAACUCUAGUGGUUAGCAUUUUAUCUCAAAACUGCAGCGGAUUCCCUUUAAACCAUUUAAAGUUCCUCUUUAAUUGGCUGUCUUGGACUUUUUCAUCCCAUGGUUAUUUUACUGAGGAAAAUGUCAUUUCAUCGUGUUGUCCUGAACAUUUUAAAUUUCCUUCAGAAAUAUGAGUUGUCCACCACAGAGAGAUGUAAUAAAUAUUGAUUUCACCCAAAGCGUGAAUUUUUCUACCGAACGUGAGGCAACUGUAGUUUUACCAGCUUAAUUAUACAUUGUUGAGCCAGGGAAGAAAACUCUCAUUAAUGUGUUUCCAUCCACAGACUCCCUCAGUAUCGCCUGCUGUCAGUUCCACUAGGUGCGAACAAUAGGGAAAACAUCAGCGUUAUAAUUUGCUCUUCUCUCAUUCUCUUAAUGGAGACCCGCUCUUUAGGAAAGGAGAUAUGCCCUAUUGAAGCGUUCCUCAUCACCGAUUAGCUUCUCAUAGCAGCCGAUUGUGUUUCUCAGACAUGCCUUGCAAAAUAAUUCCCUUCGUAGCCUUUUCAUUUUUCAAGAAAGCAGCGCUUGUGAAAGAGAGACGGCUUUUGUCUAAGACUUUCCAGGCUCGGAGUUAAUCGGGAAUCAAACGUUACGCCUUUGUUUCGUUUGACUUGGAUGCUCUGUCUCUUUUGGGAGGUUUGAUGAAGCCGCUUAGCUUUACCUUUCUCCCUCGUUUUCUUCCCCUCUCUCUCUCUCUCUCUCUCUCUCUCUCUCUCUGUCUUGCAUUAUCUCACUGUGCCCGAGUCAGCAGCCGUAGCGAGCUCGACACUGCUUGUAAGCGGCUUCUCUGUGUUCCAGGCAGUGAGUUUCAUUACUCAUUGUGCCGAAGCACAGAGGCGGCUCGUGCACACUCACCACUGAGGAGAGUGAGACUGUAGUACACAAUGUCCCAUCUUCCUUCUCUCUCCAAAAUAACACAGAACAAUGACGGUACAGGUGGGACAGGAUGUAAAUGCGGGUGAUUCCAUGAUUGCAGUACUUUUACAUUUAGCCUUUGUUUUUUUUUCUUUCUUUUUUUAGCAUUACAUGACAUCCAUUUAAAAAAAAAAUAGCAUAACACUGAAUCUAAGAAAACACGCAUUUAACCAUCUCACGUGACAAUCCCAUGUUUUACAACGGCUGUAUUUUGCUCUUAAAUGAUUAACAAAGUGGAGUUUGAGCCGUCGUUGUUGUUUUUUUUUUUAAUAGAAUAGUAUAGAAUUAUCAAAUACACAACAUGUGCUUAACUUGAAUCUGUCCAAUCACUGGAAAAAAAAGAAUGAACGUGCUUACUUUUCUUCUUCCUAUGGUCUUCAGGGAAUUUGAAUGAUGCAACGUCCUGUUGAACAUGUGACUUGUGGAAUGUUCCAAAUAUUUCGUAGGGGUGAAUGUGUUCAGGUAAGAUUUUUCAGAACGUAUAAUGGACGACUCGUGGUGAAGGAUGCGAAUAUCUAUCAUGUGAUAGAUGAAUUUACACAUUAAGCCAGAAAUACUAAGAGGUUUGAAGUAAUUUGUUUAUAUUUCAAGGUAAAAUGGAGUUAAGAGUGCUGUAGGUUUUGUAGGGUUUAUUCGAGUUUUUUAUCUGAAACAUGCGCAUAGGUUCUUUUUUUGUCUUUUUUUUUUUUUUUUUUUUUACAUUUACAUACAUAUUAAAGACAAUGAUAAAUGUAAUAUCAGUUGAACACAGAUGGCAACCCAAUCGUGGAACCACCCAAUGUGUAUCAGAGUGAUGAUUACGAACAUAAACAUGAGCGUCUAGCUGUUUUUUUUAUACAUUAUUGUGAUCAUAUUAUAAACCGUGACAGGGAUUUAACAUCGGCGUAGCUUCAUGGAGAGAAACUAAACCAUUUCCACUUCUUCUCCACCAAGCUUCCUGAUCUUCAGUCACUUAACGUUGAUGGCACUUGUGUUGAUUAAGGGUCGUGAGCUGUGCAUCCUCGACACAGUACCAGAUGCCUGGACUGGAGAGAUCUUAGUUUCUCCUAAUCAAGCUUAUGUGCCUGUCUUUUUUCUGCGUUUAAGCCUCUGUAGAAAUUACCACACGCUCCAGGCUCAAUCCUCGUGCCGGGGAAGACGUGAUAUCCGAGACGCGUGUGGUUCAUCACACCUCAAGGUUAUGGUGCUUCAAAAAAAAUUGUUUGUGCGUUCACAGAGGGGAAAAAUAUCAAAUAUGUGUGCCAAGCGGUUCUAACAAAGAAAAAGAAAGAAAGUGCAAGCAUCAGCCCGUGGCAUCUCAGCAUGCCAUGCCUUGCUUUUUAGAGGCUAGACUUAAAGCGCAAGCUUACACCGUGCGUGUGUGAUUUGUGCUUGGCUGUUUGAAAUACAGAACACGUCUGCAUCGGAUGGAUCCCCGCGGCCCAGGGAGCCUCAUUAGAAAGACUCGUGUGCCAGUCUUAAAGCCGGGAUAAGCUUAGCAGCCAGGAGCUAGUGAUAAAGGAGUUAUGUAUCGCCGCCUUACACGCGCAUGACAAAAAGCCCUCUUAUCCAGGUGCCACGCGGCCUAACCUUAUAUAUCACAUGCUGCGGAGGAUGACACACAGCCAGAAACUGUUUGCUUUCGGUCGAAUCUUCUAUACCGAGAGAAUUAAUAGGCCUACUGUACAAGAUGGAAAGUGUGCGCAUGAUUGAACGAAUAUGUAACUACAUUCGCAGAGUGGAAUAAUUAUUGUUUUUUUUAAAAUUACCCAGAUAUCAAUCCUAAUCCCAGUCCCUUUGUACAUAUACGUGACGCUAGCCUCUUAGAGAUGUUUGUCUUCUCAUCUCAAGUAUCUCAAUUAGUGGUCAGCAAAUAUUCCAUCAAAUCUGUCAAAAUAACGUGCUAGAGUGCAAAUAUUUUAUAUUUGCAGUGAAAUCAAGAUCCUAGAUUGGGGGGGGGGGGGGGGUUCUCUCAAAACCAUGCUAAUGUUUAUUAUUCAUAUACUUUGGGAGUAUUCCAAAUUCCCACACAUUUCACAUGCGAUUUUAGGUUUUUCAUGGGAUUAUAUCAAUCACAUGUGAAAACAAAUCACACAUGUCAGAAAAUCACACGUGGAAACAUGAAACCACAACACCCUAGAAGGUAAACGAAUCACAUUAAUCAAAUAAAUGAAUUGUGAAUCAAAGUAAACAACUCACGUGUAAAAAUCACAUGCGAAGGUAAACAAAUCACAUGAAUCAAAUAAAUGAAUCGUGUGUAAGAAUCGCAUCUGGGGGAAAACGAAUCAUGAAUCGACAUAAAUGAAUCAUGUGUAAGAAUCGCAUCUGGGAAAAACGAAUUAUGAAUCGACAUAAAUGAAUCGUGUGUAAAAGUCACAUGUGAAAAACGUGUCAAUUUGAUGUGUGAAUCAUGUGACUCAUCACAUGUGAAUUUCAUGUGACUUUUCCUUAAGGGUUCUCUUCAUCUUUUUUUUUAGACAAAUAUUCCAACAACAUAAUAAGUUAGAGCUCAAAUAUUUUACAUUCGCAGUGUAAUCAAUGGUACUGUAAUUUUCUGUAUACUGGUGUACAUAUACUGUGACUGAUGACAUACACAACAAUAAUAACUAAGAAUGAAUUAAAUACACAAUAAUUAGCAGUCUAUAUUUGUAUUUUAUAACUUGCAGGUUUAGGAACGAUGUCCUAUAUAAUCUCUUUUGAAAAUGUGAGUGCAAUGAGUUGUGUGCCUUUUUUUUCCUUGUCCAAUAUAUUAGAAGCCAAUUAUUAAUAUGCAUAUUUGUCCCAAGAGAGCCAUAGACUCAAUAAGCCAUGAUCGAGCCAAAUGAGAUGCAAAUGUUUUCAUUAAUAAAACAUAUUACUGUGAUCGCUGCUUGACUUGACUUGGUGAGAGAACAGCGCUUGUGCAAUGCCUGCUAAACUAAAAUGCCUACAACUCAAUCGAAACCCAAUAAUCAUGUACGUAAUUACGUUUUCUGGGGAGGGUUUUUCCCCCGUUUGGUUUAAAUGAAACCAUAAAUGCAUGCAUUUUUUUAAAUGUUUUUUUUGACUGGAAUAUACUUUCUAAUCUCUGUGCAAGCCAUGUUUUCUAAUAAAGACAUUUUACUCCAGUGCUUUUGAAUAAAACAUCUUUGUACAAUUUGCACAGUGAAGUGGGUCUUUGUGAUCAUUUUAGCAAGCUUUGCACAGUCAAAAUGGCUUUUAAUGACCACUCUUUCGCAUCUACACUGCACAAAUUUCACUAUAUUGCACUGUUGAGCACAUUAGUGUCUUCAUUUUUGCACCUUAGACUCGAACACAUUCUCACUGCUCCUCAUUAUCGUCUAGAUUCAAACUUUUCUGUAGGCACACACA